UACGAAGGGGGCUAGCGUUGCUCGGAAUCACUGGGCGUAAAGGGCGCGUAGGCGGACUCUUAAGUCAGGGGUGAAAGCCUGAGGCUCAACCUCAGAACUGCCUUUGAUACUGAGAGUCUCGAGACCGGUAGAGGUAAGUGGAACUGCGAGUGUAGAGGUGAAAUUCGUAGAUAUUCGCAAGAACACCAGUGGCGAAGGCGGCUUACUGGACCGGUUCUGACGCUGAGGCGCGAAAGCGUGGGGAG
rnacentral:rRNA from 1 species